rnacentral:rRNA from 1 species
GAGGAAGUAAAAGUCGUAACAAGGUCUCCGUUGGUGAACCAGCGGAGGGAUCAUUGCUGGAACGCGCCCCAGGCGCACCCAGAAACCCUUUGUGAACUUAUACCUUACUGUUGCCUCGGCGCAUGCCGGCCCCCCUGGGGGCCCCUCCUUCUGGAGGAGCAGGCACGCCGGCGGCCAACCUAACUCUUGUUUUUACACUGAAACUCUGAGAAUAAAACAUAAAUGAAUCAAAACUUUCAACAACGGAUCUCUUGGUUCUGGCAUCGAUGAAGAACGCAGCGAAAUGCGAUAAGUAAUGUGAAUUGCAGAAUUCAGUGAAUCAUCGAAUCUUUGAACGCACAUUGCGCCCUCUGGUAUUCCGGAGGGCAUGCCUGUUCGAGCGUCAUUUCAACCCUCAAGCCUGGCUUGGUGAUGGGGCACUGCCUGUAAAAGGGCAGGCCCUGAAAUUCAGUGGCGAGCUCGCCAGGACCCCGAGCGCAGUAGUUAAACCCUCGCUCUGGAAGGCCCUGGCGGUGCCCUGCCGUUAAACCCCCAACUUCUGAAAAUUGACCUCGGAUCAGGUACGAAACUCCU